GACGAACGCUGGCGGCGUGCUUAACACAUGCAAGCCGAACGCUGAAGCUCAGCUUUUGUUGGGUGGAUGAGUGGCGAACGGGUGAGUAACACGUGAGUAACCUGCCCCCUUCUUUGGGAUAACGCCCGGAAACGGGUGCUAAUACUGGAUAUUCACUGGUCUUCGCAUGGGGGUUGGUGGAAAGGGUUUUUCUGGUGGGGGAUGGGCUCGCGGCCUAUCAGCUUGUUGGUGGGGUGAUGGCCUACCAAGGCUUUGACGGGUAGCCGGCCUGAGAGGGUGACCGGUCACAUUGGGACUGAGAUACGGCCCAGACUCCUACGGGAGGCAGCAGUGGGGAAUAUUGCACAAUGGGCGCAAGCCUGAUGCAGCGACGCCGCGUGAGGGAUGGAGGCCUUCGGGUUGUGAACCUCUUUCGCUCAUGGUCAAGCCGCAACAAUGGUUGUGGUGAGGGUAGUGGGUAAAGAAGCGCCGGCUAACUACGUG
rnacentral:rRNA from 1 species